UGACUUAACUUAAAGAAUAAAAAAAUUAAUACCUGAUCCCAUUCUGAACUCAAACGUAGUUUUAUUUCUAUCAAGUAUAUUACUAAUGCGAAAACCUUGAUUUGUUAAG
rnacentral:rRNA from 1 species